AGAUUGAACGCUGGCGGCAUGCCUUACACAUGCAAGUCGAACGGUAACAGGUUAAGCUGACGAGUGGCGAACGGGUGAGUAAUAUAUCGGAACGUGCCCAGUAGUGGGGGAUAGCCCGGCGAAAGCCGGAUUAAUACCGCAUACGACCUACGGGUGAAAGGGGGGGAUCGCAAGACCUCUCGCUAUUGGAGCGGCCGAUAUCAGAUUAGCUAGUUGGUGGGGUAAAAGCUCACCAAGGCGACGAUCUGUAGCUGGUCUGAGAGGACGACCAGCCACACUGGGACUGAGACACGGCCCAGACUCCUACGGGAGGCAGCAGUGGGGAAUUUUGGACAAUGGGGGAAACCCUGACGCAGCAACGCCGCGUGGAGGAUGAAGUCCCUUGGGACGUAAACUCCUUUCGACCGGGACGAUAAUGACGGUACCGGUGGAAGAAGCCCCGGCUAACUUCGUGCCAGCAGCCGAC
rnacentral:rRNA from 1 species